UCCCUGGUGGUCUAGUGGUUAGGAUUUUGGCACUCUCACUGCCACGGCCCGGGUUCGAUUCCCGAUCAGGGAA